ACUCCUACGGGAGGCAGCAGUGGGGAAUAUUGGACAAUGGGCGCAAGCCUGAUCCAGCAAUGCCGCGUGUGUGAAGAAGGCCUUCGGGUUGUAAAGCACUUUAAGUUGGGAAGAAAAAACUCGCUCUAACACAGUGAGUCUUGACGGUACCGACAGAAUAAGCACCGGCUAACUCUGUGCCAGCAGCCGCGGUAAU
rnacentral:rRNA from 1 species